GAUGAACGCUGGCGGCGUGCCUAAUACAUGCAAGUCGAGCGAACAGACGAGGAGCUUGCUCCUCUGACGUUAGCGGCGGACGGGUGAGUAACACGUGGAUAACCUACCUAUAAGACUGGGAUAACUUCGGGAAACCGGAGCUAAUACCGGAUAAUAUAUUGAACCGCAUGGUUCAAUAGUGAAAGACGGUUUUGCUGUCACUUAUAGAUGGAUCCGCGCCGCAUUAGCUAGUUGGUAAGGUAACGGCUUACCAAGGCAACGAUGCGUAGCCGACCUGAGAGGGGGAGAUCCGCCACUGGAACUGAGACACGGUCCAGACUCCUACGGGAGGCAGCAGUAGGGAAUCUUCCGCAAUGGGCGAAAGCCUGACGGAGCAACGCCGCGUGAGUGAUGAAGGUCUUCGGAUCGUAAAACUCUGUUAUUAGGGAAGAACAAAUGUGUAAGUAACUAUGCACGUCUUGACGGUACCUAAUCAGAAAGCCACGGCUAACUACGUG
rnacentral:rRNA from 1 species